GACGAACGCUGGCGGCGUGCUUAACACAUGCAAGUCGAACGGAAGGGCCCUGCUUUUGUGGGGUGCUCGAGUGGCGAACGGGUGAGUAACACGUGAGUAACCUGCCCUUGACUUUGGGAUAACUUCAGGAAACUGGGGCUAAUACCGGAUAGGAGCUCCUGCUGCAUGGUGGGGGUUGGAAAGUUUCGGCGGUUGGGGAUGGACUCGCGGCUGAUCAGCUUGUUGGUGAGGUAGUGGCUUACCAAGGCUUUGACGGGUAGCCGGCCUGAGAGGGUGACCGGCCACAUUGGGACUGAGAUACGGCCCAGACUCCUACGGGAGGCAGCAGUGGGGAAUAUUGCACAAUGGGCGGAAGCCUGAUGCAGCAACGCCGCGUGCGGGAUGACGGCCUUCGGGUUGUAAACCGCUUUCGCCUGUGACGAAGCGUGAGUGACGGUAAUGGGUAAAGAAGCACCGGCUAACUACGUG
rnacentral:rRNA from 1 species